GUUAGACGAGAAAGGAUCCGGCUUCUAGUACUUCAGUCUACACUUUUUCUUUGAAUUAGAAAUCAAACUCCGUCUUGAUAAGCGUAGAACACACCCCUAACCAGCCAUGCAUCGUUCUAUCUUUACCUUUCAACCAUGAUUUUUCAGCACUGGUAGCUAUAUAAAAUGCCACCCCUAUAUUCUGUACACAUAUAGCGUAGGCCAAUACCACCUCCUUCCAUCGAACGGUUUCACCGAGGUUGUUCACCGACUGAAACUGAUUGAUUUGACCAUGACUCCACCAAUUACUUGAUGUUCCUUUUUUCCUUUGGGAAUUGCUUGAUGUUGUCUUUUUCUACGUAAAGGAUCAGAUCGAUUAUAAAGAUUCAUCGGAAAUACAAAGCGUCACAAAAAUAAUAAAAAUCACAUCAAGGUCAUGGACCACUGCUGCCGUCAGAACAAGUCGUCAAUGUGUCGCCCGAAUACGGGAGCUUGUUUGACCUCCUCAUUAUUAGACGAAAAAAUGGAUUGAUAUUUCGGACAGUUUUUUGGUAGCAUGUCCUUUAUUUUUCUUCCUUGUUUUUAUUAUUCCAGUUGGUUUUUUUAAUGCUCAC
rnacentral:lncRNA from 1 species